GAGCGGUAACAGGCGUAGCAAUACGUGCUGACGAGCGGCGAACGGGUGAGUAACGCUUCGGAAUCUGCCCAAUGGUGGGGAAUAACCAGCCGAAAGGUUGGCUAAUUCCGCAUGAGCCCUACGGGGGAAAGCGGGGGAUCGCAAGACCUCGCGCCGAUGGAUGAGCCGGAGCCGGAUUAGCUAGUUGGUAGGGUAACGGCCUACCAAGGCGACGAUCCGUAGCUGGUCUGAGAGGACGACCAGCCACACUGGGACUGAGACACGGCCCAGACUCCUACGGGAGGCAGCAGUGGGGAAUAUUGGACAAUGGGGGAAACCCUGAUCCAGCGACGCCGCGUGUGUGAAGAAGGCCUGGGGGUUGUAAAGCACUUUUAGUGGGGAUGAAAAGCUCAGGGCUAACACCUCUGGGUCUUGACCUAACCCACAGAAAAAGCACCGGCUAACUCUGUG
rnacentral:rRNA from 1 species